rnacentral:rRNA from 1 species
AUUGAACGCUGGCGGCAGGCCUAACACAUGCAAGUCGAGCGGAUGAAGGGAGCUUGCUCCUGGAUUCAGCGGCGGACGGGUGAGUAAUGCCUAGGAAUCUGCCUGGUAGUGGGGGAUAACGUCCGGAAACGGGCGCUAAUACCGCAUACGUCCUGAGGGAGAAAGUGGGGGAUCUUCGGACCUCACGCUAUCAGAUGAGCCUAGGUCGGAUUAGCUAGUUGGUGGGGUAAAGGCCUACCAAGGCGACGAUCCGUAACUGGUCUGAGAGGAUGAUCCGUCACACUGGAACUGAGACACGGUCCAGACUCCUACGGGAGGCAGCAGUGGGGAAUAUUGGACAAUGGGCGAAAGCCUGAUCCAGCCAUGCCGCGUGUGUGAAGAAGGUCUUCGGAUUGUAAAGCACUUUAAGUUGGGAGGAAGGGAAGUAAGUUAAUACCUUGCUGUUUUGACGUUACCAACAGAAUAAGCACCGGCUAACUUCGUG